rnacentral:lncRNA from 1 species
UGCCAUGUGAUGAAAUGCUACGAUUUGUUGCUAAAAUGAUGCAUGCAAUACUUAUGCUUUCUACGUAAUGUAUUGCAUAUGAUAUGAACCUUGAUUAAAAUUGCCUUGAUUUGAAUUCAAGGUUUAUCUCAAUUAUGGAAUUUUGAAAUAAGAAUGAUUACUCACCUUUGUCAUGAUUUAGAAAUUGACAGAAAGGGUUUUCCCUUCUUUUUGACAAUGACUAAGGAGGAGAUAACUUGCUUGCACUUUGCAAAGAAAGCAAAAAUGACACUUCUCAAAAGAGAAGAAAGAGCUUGUUAUCUUGAACAUCACAAGCUUGCCAAACAAAAAUUUGCAAAAG